rnacentral:rRNA from 1 species
AUGGCAGGUGCUACAUGGCGUCGCAGAUAUAUCGGGCGGCGGAGCAAAUUAAGGCCGAUGAGAAGAGGAGCAAGCAAGCAAAGGUCGGACGGAUGGAUGGGUUACCCUGCGGUAGGUGGUGCCGUCGGGCUCGACGACCCAGCCGGCCUCGUUGCAGAGCGCCUUGAGGACCUCAUUGUUGUCGCAGUGCUUGGGAAGGUUGUAGUUGCCGUAGGCCCUGAGGCCGGUGUAGAUCUUGGCGGCGAUCGCCCGGCGCCGCCGCUCCCUCCGCCGGUUGUUCUCCCGCUCCCUCCACGUGGGCACCCUCGUGCCGCCCAGCCCGUGGCCGCCGCCGCCGCCGCUCCCUCCCGCGGGGCCGUGCAUCAUCGGCCCGCCCGCCGCCGCCGCUGGAUCUGCGAGGUCGGGCUCGGGGUUCGCCGUGCUGCUUCUCUGUUUCUUGCGGCCGCAGCUCUCUCAAUCUCUCGCUCGAUUGUUUAG